rnacentral:rRNA from 2 species
GACGGGAGAGUUAUGCGAGGGUAACUUGCCUCAUACAGGGGGAUAACAGUUGGAAACGACUGCUAAUACCGCAUAAGCGCACAGGGUCGCAUGACCUGGUGUGAAAAACUCCGGUGGUAUGAGAUGGACCCGCGUCUGAUUAGCCAGUUGGUGGGGUAACGGCCUACCAAAGCGACGAUCAGUAGCCGACCUGAGAGGGUGACCGGCCACAUUGGGACUGAGACACGGCCCAAACUCCUACGGGAGGCAGCAGUGGGGAAUAUUCCACAAUGGGGGAAACCCUGAUGCAGCGACGCCGCGUGAGCGAAGAAGUAUUUCGGUAUGUAAAGCUCUAUCAGCAGGGAAGAAGAAAUGACGGUACCUGACUAAGAAGCACCGGCUAAAUACGUGCCAGCAGCCGCGGUAAUACGUAUGGUGCAAGCGUUAUCCGGAUUUACUGGGUGUAAAGGGAGCGCAGGCGGUACGGCAAGUCUGAUGUGAAAGCCCGGGGCUCAACCCCGGUACUGCAUUGGAAACUGUCGGACUAGAGUGUCGGAGGGGUAAGUGGAAUUCCUAGUGUAGCGGUGAAAUGCGUAGAUAUUAGGAGGAACACCAGUGGCGAAGGCGGCUUACUGGACGAUUACUGACGCUGAGGCUCGAAAGCGUGGGGAGCAAACAGGAUUAGAUACCCCGGUAGUCCACUCCGUAAACGAGGAAUAUUACAUUCAGGAAACACAUA